AGUGAUCAUUGGCGGCAGGCUUAACACAUGCAAGUCGAGCGAGGCUACGAGCCGAGCGGCGAACGGGUGAGUAAUACUUGGGAAUCUGCCCCGGAGUGUGGGAUAACGUUCAGAAAUGGACGCUAAUACCGCAUAAUCCAUAUUGGGAAAGCGCGCAGCGCUCUGGGAUGAGCCCAUGUCUGAUUAGCUAGUUGGUGGGGUAAUGGCCUACCAAGGCGACGAUCAGUAGCUGGUCUGAGAGGAUGAUCAGCCACACUGGAACUGGGACACGGUCCAGACUCCUACGGGAGGCAGCAGUGGGGAAUAUUGGACAAUGGGGGCAACCCUGAUCCAGCCAUGCCGCGUGUGCGAUGAAGGCCCUAGGGUUGUAAAGCACUUUUGGCGGGGACGACGAUGACGGUACCCGCAGAAUAAGUCACGGCUAACUUCGUGCCAGCAGCCGCAGUAA
rnacentral:rRNA from 1 species